rnacentral:lncRNA from 1 species
AAAAGGAGAUAGAGAAGAAGAGAAAACAAGAAAAGAGAGAAGAGAAGAAAAGGAGAAAAGAAAAAGGGAGAGAGAAGCUCACCGUUCACCACCACCACCACCGCACCGUUUUCGUCUCCUCCGGCCACCACCUCCACUACCACAAGCUUCACAUCUCCAGAUGAAGAUCCACUGCCACCAAAGAUUCUAAUCUACCACCGCCGCAGCUGUUGGUUGCACAGAGAGGAGGAGAGGCCUGGAGAAAAAGAAAGUUGAAGGAGAAGGCACAGAUUCGAGGUGGGGUAUUGUGAGGAAGAUUUCCGUUGCUUUAGAGAGAGUUAAACCGUGAUCAAGGUGUCUCUGGAAAGAACUCGAUGCAACGAAGCCAUAGGAGCAAACGGCAUCGUCAUCGGAGUUACGGUCAGGCCACAACGAAGCUUUCUUCCUGCGCACGAAUCAUAUAUGUCAACCUACAACCCAGAAAUCUGCUUCGAUGCAGCAACUUCAAAGGACAGUAGACGACUCGUCUAAAGUCCGAUCGACCCGAAAUUUUGUGGAGGGCUUCACGGUACAUCUCUUUCCAGUUUCAACGGUGGGAUCAAGAUUCCAACGGUUGAUUGUUGAGUUAUGAGGGCGUUUCCUAGGCAGCUUUGAAGUGUUCUUAAGAAGGGGCGUUCACCAGUUGCAACCGCUUUAACCGCUACAUUCUCCAAGUACUAUUCCAGGUUCUUUUAAAUUAAGGUGAGGACAAGUUUUUGGAUUUCUAAGAUAUAUCAGUUGAUUUAGUAAUGUUUGUAUGCUUAGUGUAGGUAUUAAACAUGAUUGAUGAUUGAUAUUUGAUAAUGGUGAUUGAUAUUUGUUAUUGAUUGAUUAUUAGUGAUAAUUAAUAAUGAGAAGUAUAAUAAUAGGAUUGUAAGUUAUUUAGUCGUUAGUUGAAAUAGAAUUUAUUUUAUUACAAUAUUGUUUGACGGCCUACAACGAAGAACUGAGAUUGUGAAGUUGUAGUGAUCGAUAAAUUGUUUGACGGCUUACAUUGAUGGACUGAAUAUUGUGAAGCUGUAGUGAUCGAAAAAUGACUGACGAGCCAUAGUCAAGCCUUGUUGAAAGUGGUGGCACCGGUAACUUGUCAAGCCCAUAAUAGGUGGUGGCAGAGAAUGAGUACCAUUGACGGAAGUUAUUUGGAAAUGUGUUAUAGAAUCUCUAGAUUGAUUGUUUUGGAUGAUUGAAUGAUUAUAUUUAUUUAGAAAUAUUAGAAUCAUAUAUAUUAUAUAAUAAUAUUAGUUAUUUUAGGUUGAUUGUUGCU